rnacentral:rRNA from 1 species
GCGCGAAAACUUUACAAUGCGGGAAACCGUGAUAAGGGGACACCGAGUGCCAGCAUCAUAUGCUGGCUGUCCGGGUGUGUAAACUACACCUGUUAGCAAGGGCCGGGCAAGACCGGUGCCAGCCGCCGCGGUAACACCGGCGGCCCGAGUGGUGAUCGUGAUUAUUGGGUCUAAAGGGUCCGUAGCCGGUUUGGUCAGUCCUCCGGGAAAUCUGAUGGCUUAACCAUUAGGCUUUCGGGGGAUACUGCCAGGCUUGGAACCGGGAGAGGUAAGAGGUACUACAGGGGUAGGAGUGAAAUCUUGUAAUCCCUGUGGGACCACCUGUGGCGAAGGCGUCUUACCAGAACGGGUUCGACGGUGAGGGACGAAAGCUGGGGGCACGAACCGGAUUAGAUACCCGGGUAGUCCCAGCCGUAAACGAUGCUCGCUAGGUGUCAGGCAUGGCGCGACCGUGUCUGGUGCCGCAGGGAAGCCGUGAAGCGAGCCACCUGGGAAGUACGGCCGCAAGGCUGAAACUUAAAGGAAUUGGCGGGGGAGCACAACAACGGGUGG